UGGGGAAUAUUGGACAAUGGGCGCAAGCCUGAUCCAGCCAUGCCGCGUGAGUGAUGAAGGCCUUAGGGUUGUAAAGCUCUUUCGCCGACGAAGAUAAUGACGGUAGUCGGAGAAGAAGCCCCGGCUAACUUCGUGCCAGCAGCCGCGGUAAUACGAAGGGGGCUAGCGUUGUUCGGAAUCACUGGGCGUAAAGCGCACGUAGGCGGAUUGUUAAGUCAGGGGUGAAAGCCUGGAGCUCAACUCCAGAACUGCCCUUGAUACUGGCAAUCUCGAGUCCGGAAGAGGUAAGUGGAACUGCGAGUGUAGAGGUGAAAUUCGUAGAUAUUCGCAAGAACACCAGUGGCGAAGGCGGCUUACUGGUCCGGUACUGACGCUGAGGUGCGAAAGCGUGGGGAGCAAAACAGGAUUAGAUACCCUGGUAGUCCACGCCGUAAACGAUGGAGGCUAGCCGUUGGCGAGCAUGCUCGUCAGUAGCGCAGCUAACGCAUUAAGCCUCCCGCCUGGGGAGUACGGUCGCAAGAUUAAAAACUC
rnacentral:rRNA from 1 species